UACGAAGGGGGCUAGCGUUGUUCGGAAUUACUGGGCGUAAAGCGCGCGUAGGCGGCUUGUCAAGUCAGGGGUGAAAUCCCACAGCUUAACUGUGGAACUGCCCUUGAAACUGUCAAGCUAGAGUGUCGGAGGGGAUAGCGGAAUUGCUAAUGUAGAGGUGAAAUUCGUAGAUAUUAGCAGGAACACCGGUGGCGAAGGCGGCUAUCUGGACGACAACUGACGCUGAGGCGCGAAAGCGUGGGGAUCAAACAGG
rnacentral:rRNA from 1 species